CUGCACCACGCCUGCAUCGCCGUUUCUGGGUGCGCGGUCAACGCCCGCCUGGCGACUGCUCGCCACGUUUUGCCAGCG
rnacentral:sRNA from 5 species